GAUGAAGAACGUAGCGAAUUGCGAUACGUAAUGUGAAUUGCAAAUUCAGUGAAUCAUCGAGUCUUUGAACGCACAUUGCGCCCCCUGGUAUUCCGGGGGGCAUGCCUGUCCGAGCGUCAUUGCUGCCCUCAAGCACGGCUUGUGUGUUGGGCCCCGUCCUCCGAUCCCGGGGGACGGGCCCGAAAGGCAGCGGCGGCACCGCGUCCGGUCCUCGAGCGUAUGGGGCUUUGUCACCCGCUCUGUAGGCCCGGCCGGCGCUUGCCGAUCAACCCAAAUUUUUAUCCAGGUUGACCUCGGAUCAGGUAGGGAUACCCGCUGAACUUAAGCAUAUCAAUAAGCGGAGGA
rnacentral:misc_RNA from 1 species